rnacentral:Y_RNA from 1 species
GGCUGCUCCAAAGGUAGUGAGUCUCAAUUGAUUGUUCACAGUCAGUUGCAGAUCGAACUUUUUGUUCAGUUCUUUCUCCUCUUAUCACUACUGCACUUGGCUAGUCUAAA